rnacentral:tRNA from 1 species
UGGGAUUCAGCUCAGUGGUGUAAGCGCCUGCCUGGGAAGCACGAGGUUGGGAAUUUGAUCCCCAGUACCAA